GUUAAGCGACUAAGCGUACACGGUGGAUGCCCUGGCAGUCAGAGGCGAUGAAGGACGUGCUAAUCUGCGAUAAGCGUCGGUAAGGUGAUAUGAACCGUUAUAACCGGCGAUUUCCGAAUGGGGAAACCCAGUGUGUUUCGACACACUAUCAUUAACUGAAUCCAUAGGUUAAUGAGGCGAACCGGGGGAACUGAAACAUCUAAGUACCCCGAGGAAAAGAAAUCAACCGAGAUUCCCCCAGUAGCGGCGAGCGAACGGGGAGCAGCCCAGAGCCUGAAUCAGUGUGUGUGUUAGUGGAAGCGUCUGGAAAGGCGCGCGAUACAGGGUGACAGCCCCGUACACAAAAAUGCACAUGCUGUGAGCUCGAUGAGUAGGGCGGGACACGUGGUAUCCUGUCUGAAUAUGGGGGGACCAUCCUCCAAGGCUAAAUACUCCUGACUGACCGAUAGUGAACCAGUACCGUGAGGGAAAGGCGAAAAGAACCCCGGCGAGGGGAGUGAAAAAGAACCUGAAACCGUGUACGUACAAGCAGUGGGAGCACGCUUAGGCGUGUGACUGCGUACCUUUUGUAUAAUGGGUCAGCGACUUAUAUUCUGUAGCAAGGUUAACCGAAUAGGGGAGCCGAAGGGAAACCGAGUCUUAACUGGGCGUUAAGUUGCAGGGUAUAGACCCGAAACCCGGUGAUCUAGCCAUGGGCAGGUUGAAGGUUGGGUAACACUAACUGGAGGACCGAACCGACUAAUGUUGAAAAAUUAGCGGAUGACUUGUGGCUGGGGGUGAAAGGCCAAUCAAACCGGGAGAUAGCUGGUUCUCCCCGAAAGCUAUUUAGGUAGCGCCUCGUGAAUUCAUCUCCGGGGGUAGAGCACUGUUUCGGCAAGGGGGUCAUCCCGACUUACCAACCCGAUGCAAACUGCGAAUACCGGAGAAUGUUAUCACGGGAGACACACGGCGGGUGCUAACGUCCGUCGUGAAGAGGGAAACAACCCAGACCGCCAGCUAAGGUCCCAAAGUCAUGGUUAAGUGGGAAACGAUGUGGGAAGGCCCAGACAGCCAGGAUGUUGGCUUAGAAGCAGCCAUCAUUUAAAGAAAGCGUAAUAGCUCACUGGUCGAGUCGGCCUGCGCGGAAGAUGUAACGGGGCUAAACCAUGCACCGAAGCUGCGGCAGCGACGCUUAUGCGUUGUUGGGUAGGGGAGCGUUCUGUAAGCCUGCGAAGGUGUGCUGUGAGGCAUGCUGGAGGUAUCAGAAGUGCGAAUGCUGACAUAAGUAACGAUAAAGCGGGUGAAAAGCCCGCUCGCCGGAAGACCAAGGGUUCCUGUCCAACGUUAAUCGGGGCAGGGUGAGU
rnacentral:rRNA from 1 species